rnacentral:lncRNA from 1 species
GUUUUGCUUAGUGAGGUACUGAUCUACUAACGGGCCUGUGACGAACAGAAUAGCUGCUUGAAAUGGUGCUGAUUGAUACAGUAACUGAGUUGAUGACACAUUUAGUCUCUUUUGAAUUGUGUUUGAUACAAUUUGACCAACACAAGUGGUGGCAAUAGCUAGAAGUGAGAGAAUCGUGCCGACAAAAUUGAGCUGAAGAUCUGUCACCGAUGCUAUGCCAACUCCAAGAAGUAGGAGGAAGAGCGAUAACUUUAUU